CUGGUGAGAACAUGGAUACUCAGAGAAGGAGUGCAAGCCACAGAGUAAACGGAGCCAUAAACUUGGUCUUUCUGCUUCCGUGCCUGGUUCUUCCCCAUUGUUGUGAUUCCGUUUGGAUCAGUUCAACACUUACUGGCAGUGCCUGCCUGCCUGGCGGCGGGUGAGGUCCCAGCCCUCACAGACCUCUCCCAACCAGGGGAAAACUAGGUGUGGUCCCGCCCACCCACGCUGUGUACAGCCCGCAGUAUGAAUACAGAAGAGGGAAGGCUGUCGCUGCCAGAGGAAGUCUGAGCUGAGCCUUGCCCACCGAAAGGAGGAAGGACAUUUCCCAGCCAAAGGACUGGAAUAGUAAAGUGCUAAGGCCGGAAUCCUGGCCUACUGAAGAAGCCUCAGGAAUUUCUCUGUGCCUGAGCGUGGACCAGAGAAGGGCUCCCUGGGAAAGAGAGAACUUCCUGGAGAGGAAAUGUGCAAGAGUCCGGAGCAUCUUAUACGAGAAAGCAAGAAAAACCAAUUUGAGACGAUGCAGGUGUGUGUCAAAAGGAUCCAGGAGCCAAACUACAAAGGCUCUCGCGGGCCAAAGCCGAGAUAAUGCGAGCAUCCGUGAAUAAUUCCAAGGGGUUGGAACCCUGAACAUUUUCGUCCGUGAGUUCAUAAUGAUGACUUCAAAACAAAACAAGACAAAACACCUGAAUAAUCAUCCUUGAAGAAUGCUAGGGAGCCAGCUCAUUUUACAAACUAGUAAACAAAGUAUAGGCCAUUUCUUAGAUUGUUCUCCAUGCAGGCUGGAGGCGGCGUGGAGAGCAGGGCUGGUCAAACAGGCAGAACGUGGCCAGGUAGGCCAGGGCAGAGGUAGAAUGGUGCCCUGGGACCUCGACGUACAUAAACACAAUGCCUCUAUUGCACAAACUAACUGAAGAGUUGGGUGGGAGCUCUUUCUAGCAGUUUCCUAAUAGAUGAAGAAGGAACAGUAGGAUUAAGAUCAGUAUUGCAGUUCCUCAGGAAGUCAUGGACCUAGGCAGGCAUCGGCGGCAGCCACUCACAACACAAACGCUGGCCCCUCUGUUGUAUUUGACCUACAUCACACGGCAAGGUCGGUGGUGCAACUUUGGUUGGUGACACAGAGCCAGGUGGGGACUCCUUGCCCCACAGCAAUGAGAACCUGCCUCCUGUGUCUGGUCAAGCCUCUAAGUGCCUGUUUACAGCUGUGCAGAAAAGAGCCAACAGCUGGCCUGAGGCUUCUAUCCCUAGAAAAGCCUGCCUGCAACGUUGGUCGUUGGCUGGCGUCUGGGAACAUGGUUUAUUUAGCAAGUGUUCGCACCAUCCUCUAACUGGUGAGGGUGGUUUCCUGUCCUCAGACUGUACAACCUGUUAUGCUGAGCAUCUGUUUUCUAUCUGGAAGUCUAGAAUUUUGGUACGCGCUGAGCAGGGGGUACCUACGUGACCAGCCCCCGAUAAAAACCUUGGGCCUCGAGUCUGAUGACCUUCCCUGGUAGACAGUUCCGUACAUGUGUCGUCACAAUUCAGUGCUGAAAGGCUUCAGCGUGUCCUGUGUGACUCCACCGGGACAGGACUCUGUGUCCUUUCACCAUAAUAGACCAUGGCUGCGAGUACAACUAUAUGUCAAGUGCCAUGAGGCCUCCCGGCAGGCCAUCGAACCUGGGGGCGGCCAACGGCUCAACACGACAGGAAAUACAGGAGACAGAGAAGCAUCCUGGCACCAUCACGAGGAUCCUGGCAACAAAAUCUAAAAUGUGAGCGACGCUACAGGACAAAGGGCUUACUCCUGUCAACAGAUAAAUUAUAAGAAAAAUAAGAAAGGUGACCCUACAGAUUAAUAGAGAUUUAAAAGAGCUAACAAUCAACAGCAAGGUUGCGAAUCUUCUCUGGAUCCUGUUGUGAUGAAAUUGUAAAAAAAAAAAAAAAAAAAAAAAAAAAA